AAGACUAUACUUUCAGGGAUCAUUUCUAUAGUUUCUUACUAGAGAAGUUUCUCUGAAUGUGUAGAGCACCCGAAACCAUGAGGAUGUGUUGAAACGUUCUCUCCUGAGCGUGAAGCCGGUUUUGAGGUUUGCGUAAGCAAUGUCUCUCUACCAUUGAUGACCGUUCAUGCCCCUCUUAAGAGUGGCCUGAGGGAGAGAACGUAUUCUGAGUGGU